AUGAAUUUCAACAGACAGCGAAAGUUGUAUAAAUUGCAGUUCAAGAUAACGAUACUACUUUUAGAAACACAUCUGCUAACAAAUUGACUCGUUGGCACAUUUUUCGCUGCGAAACCUAGCGGUGAAGAUUUAAACUGCCGGUCUUUAGCAGGCACACCAGAACUACGACGAAGAAUGUAUGAAACAUACUUCCACCAGAGAUACAGUAGCUAUAUAAUGACGAGAUUGGUCUCCGAUAAGCAGGCGGUCUGCCAAAAGACCUUUGAAACUAGAUGUCAUUUAUGAAUGUUCCACUGGGUAGAGGUGAGGCCAAAUGUUGGAUCAGAACCAUUUUGAUAGGUGUAUGACAGAAGAAGUCAGUCCACCUCUACCGUAUUGUCACUUUGUUGUGCAACGCGCUGUAAAACUGUUUCAGAUCAUAGCACUGAGGGUGCAGUGCGAGUUCUGCAUGAGCUGCACUCGGAGGUCAGCGGCCUCAAUGUAACCCUCAAUGUGGUACCUGAUGAGCUGCUUGUAGUUAAUAAUAGCCAUGUGACUCAUUAGUAUACAUAUUUAGAGAAUGAUUUACAUAACUGGUUUGUUGUGAAGGAGCAGCUAAUGCGCCAACAGGCAGGUUGCCUGGAGCGUUGGUCUUGUAACCGGAAGGUUGCAAGAUCGAAUCCCCGAACUGACCAGAUAAAAAUCUCUCGUUCUGCCCCUGAACAAGGCAGUUAGCCCACUGUUCCUAGUGUAGCCGAUGUGAAAUGGCUAGCAAGUUAACGGGGGUGCGGGGAUAAAAGCGUUUCAAUCGUUGAAAAAAAUCUGUCGUUCUGCCCCUGAACAAGGCAGUUAGCCGAUGUGAAAUGGCUAGCAAGUUAACGGGGGUGCGGGGAUAAAAGCGUUUCAAUAGUUGACGUCACUCGCUGAGACCUGAAGUAGUUCUUCCCAUUGCUCUGCAAGGGCCGCGGCUCUUGUGGCGCGAUGGGUAACGAUGCUUCAGGGGUGUCAGUUGUCUGUGUGUGCAGUUGUCUGUUACAUUGAUGCUGUUGACCCGGAUCACUGGUUGCUGCGGAAAAAGAGGUCACAAGUGUGACUCCGACUAGACCAUCAGAACCACUCUCAACCUUUCAGGUUAUAUUGAUAUAGGGCUCGUUUUACUGUGGAUAUAGAUACUUUUGUACAUGUUUCCUCCAGCAUCUUCAUAAUGUCCUUUGCUGUUGUUAUGGGACUGAUUUGCACUUUUCGCGACAAAGUACUUUAAUCUCUAGGAGACAGAACGCAUCUCCUUCCUGAGCGGUAUGACUGCUGCGUGGUCCCAUGUUGUUUAUACUUGAGUACUAUUGUUUGUACAGAUGAACGUGGUACCUUCAGGCGUUUGGAAAUUGCUCCCAAGGAUGAACCAGACUUGUGGAGGUCUCUGAUUUUUUUCCGAGGUCUUCGUUGAUUUCUUUUGAUUUUCCCAUGAUGUCAAGCAAAGAGGAACUGAGUUUUAAGAGGGGUGGUGGUGGAGCCCGUGGGGAGCAGAGCAUGGGGCAGGAAAGCCGCCUCUCAAUCGUGGAGCCGGACGGUUCCACCCAGGCAUCCAACCUGGGUACCCUGCGGGUGAGGGGAUUACCCCGAGCCAUUCGGUCCCGAGAUGCCGGACCUAAGCUCUGUCACACAGGACCUCUUUAAGCUCAUUUCCCAGAGCAAGAAAGUCCCCACAGCAGUAGUUCAGCCACACAACAUACCUUCAAUCCUCCACACAGCAACAGGGAAGAACAGGUCAACUCUGAUAAUGCCAACAAGAAAGUAGUAUAGGUUUAUUAAUAACAUAUCCUUAAAAAGAGUUACACCAUUACCAAUUCCAAUAGAUUUACUUACUAGUCAAACCUCUGCUCUCUUUUUGUCAUUCCUCCAGGGCCCAAAUCUUCCCUCCAGGGCGGUGUCAGUCUUCUCUCAGGGCUGUGUCAGGCCAUGGUGUCUGGCCAUGGUGUCAGAAAGUAUUCCAAGCUACGUGAGACUCCUCUGUCCAGCCUCAACCAGGCCAUUCAGAAGAUCAACAGUGCCACAGAAAUGUAUUUUGGGACUCUGUUGCCUCAGGUGGUCUUGCAGGGUUUCUGAUGGAGGAGCUGAAGAGGAUCACGGGGGUGGGCAUCAAAGCCCAUGUACUUUAGGUGUCUGACUGAGCUGAAGAGGUUGUAGCAUGUGCAGGGAGUAGGUACCAGCGCCAUGUAUAAAAUCCUGUCACAGAAGCAUACCUGAUCAGAAUUAAAAUGACAUUCCCUACCUUCUUAAACCUCCCAAAUGACUCGACACUACUGAGUGAGGAUCCAUUUACUGACCAUCAUUUGAGUAGGCCUUGACUUUUUGUUGUUACAUUACAGCCUUAUUAUAAAAUUGAUUAAAUUAUUUGUUUUCCUCAUCACCCCACAAUGACAAAGCGAAAACAGGUUAAAAUAAAACACUGAAAUACCUUUACAUAAAUAUUCAGACCCUUUACUCAGUACUUUGUUGAAGCACCUUUGGCAGCGAUUACAGCCUCGAGUCUUCUUGGUUAUGACUCUUCAAGCUUGGCACACCUGUAAUUGGAGAGUUAAUUUUAUUAUUCUCUAUAGAUCCUCUCAAGCUCUGUCAGGUUGGAUAUGGAGCAUCGCUGCACAGCUAUUUUCAGGUCUCUACAGAGAAGUCCGGGCUCUGGCUGGGCCACUAAAGGACAUUCAGAAGCUUAUCCCGAAGCCACUCGUGCGUUGUCUUGGCUGUGUGCUUAGGGUCGUUGUCCUGUUGGAAGGUGAACCUUCGCCCCCAGUCUGAGAACCUGCCCCAGAGUGCUCAGGACUUCAUCAAGGAUCUCUCUGCUCCAUUCAUCUUUCCCUCAAUCCUGACUAGUCUCCCAGUCCCUGCUGCUGGAAACACCCCCAUAGCAUGAUGCUGCCACCACCAUGCUUCACCGUAGGGAUGGUGCCAGGUUUCCUCCAGAUGUGACACUUGGCAUUCAGGCCAAAGAGUUCAAUCUUGGUUUCAUCAGACCAGAAAAUCUUGUUUCUCAUACAUAGUCUGAGUCCUUCAGGUGCCAAAAGUCCAAGCUGGCCAUCAUGUACCUUUUACUGAGGAGUGUCUUCCGUCUGGCCACUACCAUAAAGGCCUGAUUGGCGGAGAGCUGUAGCGAUGUUGGUCCUUCUGGAAGGUUCUCCCAUCUCCACAGAUGAACUCUGGAGCUCUGUCAGCAUUAACAUCAGGUUCUUGGUCACCUCCCUGACCAAGACCCUUCUCCCCGAUUGCUAAGUUUGGCUGGGCGGCCACCUCUAGGGAGAGUCUUGGUGGUUCCAAACUUCCUCCAUUUCAGAAUGAUGGAAGCCACUGUUCUUGGGGACCUUCCAAUGCUGCAAAGAUUUUUUGGUAACUCCCCAGAUCUGGCAACUUUCAUAAAUUAUGUGCAUUACCACCACCGUUUGAGUGAUGCCUGGUGAAUACUCAGAAGUGGACACGUCUGUAGACAAUCUUUUUUACACACAUUGAUUCCGACACAAUCAUCAGAACUCCAAUACAUGCAAGACUGCCGCUGCGUACAAAGCCGUAGGCAUUUAUUUCUUUAUGCCUGCUACUGUUUUUUUUUUUUAACCUUUAUUUAACCAGGCAAGUCAGUUAAGAACACAUUCUUAUUUUCAAUGACGGAACAGUGGGUUAACUGCCUGUUCAGGGGCAGAACGACAGAUUUGUACCUUGUCAGCUCGGGGGUUUGAACUCGCAACCUUGCGGUUACUAGUCCAACGCUCUAACCACUAGGCUAUGCUACCGCCCCAAAAAGUCACGGGUGGCCAAUCUUCCACCUAAAUCUUCCACCAAGCCCCUUCUUUUUAAUGGUAUCUGUUGCUUUUAUACAUGUCUUACUCUUGCUCAAAAGACUUUGGCAUGUUGGCAUGUUUCGUUUCUAAAUGUCUGCGCAAGACUGAAAGUUUCACCCACGAGAGAGUAACGGUUAAGGUGAUUGGAUGUUCAUUAUUUGACUAGGCUACCUGUAUUUGACAGUGUUGUUAUUUCACUGAACACUAGAUGGUUUAAUUUUAUUUUUGGCAGUGAAACAUGGCUAGUCAGGUGACAAAAAACCCUCACCCAAAUGUAUAGCCCCCUUGGAAAAUAUAAAUGGACUGUUUGAAAAUGUGAAGAAACAUUUUUUGAAAAAAAUUCAAUAAAUGUUGUUUUUUUUAAAAA